UCCUGACACAGGGAGGUAGUGACAAGAAAUAACAAUACAGGGCUAUUUUAGUCUUGUAAUUGGAAUGAGUACAAUUUACAUCUCUUCACGAGGAUCAAUUGGAGGGCAAGUCUGGUGCCAGCAGCCGCGGUAAUUCCAGCUCCAAUAGCGUAUAUUAAAGUUGUUGCAGUUAAAACGCUCGUAGUCGGAUUUCGGGGCGGGCCGACCGGUCUGCCGAUGGGUAUGCACUGGCCGGCGCGUCCUUCCACCCGGAGACCGCGCCUACUCUUAACUGAGCGGGCGCGGGAGACGGGUCUUUUACUUUGAAAAAAUCAGAGUGUUUCAAGCAGGCAGUCGCUCUUGCAUGGAUUAGCAUGGGAUAAUGAAAUAGGACUCUGGUGCUAUUUUGUUGGUUUCGAACACCGGAGUAAUGAUUAACAGGGACA
rnacentral:rRNA from 1 species